rnacentral:rRNA from 1 species
AGAUUGAACGCUGGCGGCAGGCCUAACACAUGCAAGUCGAGCGGUAGAGAGGUGCUUGCAUCUCUUGAGAGCGGCGGACGGGUGAGUAAUGCCUAGGAAUCUGCCUAGUGGUGGGGGAUAACGUUCGGAAACGGACGCUAAUACCGCAUACGUCCUACGGGAGAAAGCGGGGGACCUUCGGGCCUCGCGCCAUUAGAUGAGCCUAGGUCGGAUUAGCUAGUUGGUGAGGUAAUGGCUCACCAAGGCGACGAUCCGUAACUGGUCUGAGAGGAUGAUCAGUCACACUGGAACUGAGACACGGUCCAGACUCCUACGGGAGCAGCAGUGGGAAUAUGGACAAUGGGCAAAGCCUGAUCCAGCCAUGCCGCGUGUGUGAAGAAGGUCUUCGGAUUGUAAAGCACUUUAAGUGGAGAAGGCAGUUACUAAUACGUAUCUGUUUGACGUUACGACAGAAUAAGCACGGCUAACUCUGUGCCAG